CGACUCUCCUCCUGUUGGAAGGUGUGUGUAUGCGCACUUUGCUCUUUUGCUUCUUCUUCUGACGAGUUUGUAGAUUGUCGAGAUUUAUAUGAGGUUUUGCAGAAAGACGCCAGUGAUACAAUUGUUAUAUGAGAUAGUGACAGGAAAUUGAAUUGAAACUUACAAG